rnacentral:ncRNA from 2 species
CAAGCCAGAAGAGGCGCGUCACCCAGGUAGAGUGUCAGAGGAGCCGUUUUCCACAGACGGCACUGGAGGGGGAGUGACGCCGAGAUACGCUGCAUCGCGGCAUGCGGUAUAUCGACUACAGGGGCUGAAUCCCUUGGGUUGUCACCAUGGUCGCCCUGUUCGGGGCGGUCAACAAGGUGGGGCGCUUCUGGGUGU